UGGGGGAUAUUGCACAAUGGGGGAAACCCUGAUGCAGCGACGCCGCGUGAGGGAAGAAGGUCUUCGGAUUGUAAACCUCUGUCUUCGGGGACGAACACAAUGACGGUACUCGAGGAGGAAGCCACGGCUAACUACGUGCCAGCAGCCGCGGUAAAACGUAGGUGGCAAGCGUUGUCCGGAAUUACUGGGUGUAAAGGGAGCGCAGGCGGAGCUGCAAGUUGGGCGUCAAAUCUACGGGCUUAACCCGUAUCCGCGCUCAAAACUGUAGCUCUUGAGUAGUGCAGAGGUAGGCGGAAUUCCCGGUGUAGCGGUGGAAUGCGUAGAUAUCGGGAGGAACACCAGUGGCGAAGGCGGCCUACUGGGCACCAACUGACGCUGAGGCUCGAAAGUAUGGGUAGCAAACAGG
rnacentral:rRNA from 1 species